AGUUGCCUAUCAUUUGGUUGGGCACGUCUAAUGAGACUGCCGGUGACAAACCGGAGGAAGGUGGGGAUGACGUCAAGUCCUCAUGGCCCUUAUGGGUAGGGCUUCACACGUCAUACAAUGGUCGGUACAGAGGGUUGCCAACCCGCGAGGGGGAGCUAAUCCCACAAAGCCGAUCGUAGUCCGGAUCGCAGUCUGCAACUCGACUGCGUGAAGUCGGAAUCGCUAGUAAUCGUGGAUCAGCAUGUCACGGUGAAUACGUUCCCGGGUCUU
rnacentral:rRNA from 1 species